UAAAUAGAGUCAGGGGACCUUUCCCUGUUUC
rnacentral:piRNA from 1 species